rnacentral:rRNA from 1 species
UUAAGCAUAUCAAUAAGCGGAGGAAAAGAAACUAACAAGGAUUCCCCUAGUAACGGCGAGUGAAGCGGGAAGAGCUCAAAUUUGAAAUCUGGCAGUCUUCGAUUGUCCGAGUUGUAAUCUAUAGAGGCGUUUUCCGUGCCGGACCGUGUCCAAGUCUCCUGGAAAGGAGUAUCAAAGAGGGUGAUAAUCCCGUACUUAACACGAUAACCGGUGCUCUGUGAUACGUCUUCUACGAGUCGAGUUGUUUGGGAAUGCAGCUCAAAAUGGGUGGUGAAUUCCAUCUAAAGCUAAAUAUUGGCGAGAGACCGAUAGCGAACAAGUACCGUGAGGGAAAGAUGAAAAGCACUUUGGAAAGAGAGUUAAACAGUACGUGAAAUUGUUGAAAGGGAAACGAUUGAAGUCAGUCGUGUUCUUUGGAUUCAGCCAGUUCUGCUGGUCUACUUCCUUAGAACGGGUCAACAUCAGUUUUGUCCGGUGGAUAAAGGUAGUAGGAAUGUAGCUUCUUUGAAGUGUUAUAGCCUAUUGCCACAUACACUGGGUGAGACUGAGGACUGCAGCUCGCCUUUAUGGCCGGUCUUCGGACACGUUCGAGCUUAGGAUGUUGACAUAAUGGCUUUAAACGACCCG